ACAAACAAGCUGCUUCGUUUG
rnacentral:siRNA from 1 species